rnacentral:rRNA from 1 species
GACAGAGGUGCCGAGCGUUAUGCGGAAUCACUGGGCUUAAAGCGUGUGUAGGCGGAUUCCUAAGUACCUUGUGAAAUCCCACGGCUUAACCGUGGAACUGCUUGGUAUACUGGGUGUCUUGAGCCAACUAGAGGCAGUCGGAACAAACGGUGGAGCGGUGAAAUGCGUAGAUAUCGUUUGGAACGCCAAUGGUGAAAACAGACUGCUGGGGUUGUGCUGACGCUGAGACACGAAAGCCAGGGGAGCGAACGGG